CCAAUAGCGUAUAUUAAAGUUGUUGCAGUUAAAAAGCUCGUAGUUGAAUUUCGGGAUCAGUAUGUCGGUCGUGCCUCCGGUAUGUACUGGCGUCACUGGUUCCUCCCUUCUGACGAACCAUCAUGCUAUUAAUUUAGUGUGGUGGGAAAUCAGGACUGUUACUUUGAAAAAAUUAGAGUGUUUAAAGCAGGCUCACGCUUGAAUACAUUAGCAUGGAAUAAUGAAAUAGGACGUUGAUCCUAUUUUGUUGGUUUCUAGGAUUGACGUAAUGAUUAAUAGGGAUAGUUGGGGGCAUUAGUAUUCAAUUGUCAGAGGUGAAAUUCUUGGAUUUAUUGAAGACUAACUACUGCGAAAGCAUUUGCCAAGGAUGUUUUCAUUAAUCAAGAACGAAAGUUAGGGGAUCGAAGACGAUCAGAUACCGUCGUAGUCUUAACCAUAAACUAUGCCGACUAGGGAUCGGAUGAUGUUAAUUUUUUAAUGACUCAUUCGGCGCCUUACG
rnacentral:rRNA from 1 species